GUCGCAAGAGAUCAGCUUACAGUAAUUCGUAUGAAAAGCCAAUCAAAUUGAUUUCUGUCCUCAAAGUACGACCAUUUCAAUCAUUCAAGUAAGUCUUACUCUCAAACUUCAAAGACCACUAAGGAGGUCAUAUUCGUUUUGGCAAGUAAAAAAUUCGAUACCCAAACGAUUAAACAUGGAAAAAAUUGUCGUCAUUAAGGUAUUAAUUGCGUUAGCCGUUACAUGCAUUAAAAACAAGACGAGUUGUGACGGCGCACUUACUGAAAAACAAUCGAUUCAUAUUAACUAUAUUAGCAGACCGGAACAUUGGCAAGACAUGUGGUUCGAUGAGGUCAAAAUCCAAACGGAAUGGAUAGAUAAACGUAUUAUAUCUAAUCCAGAUUCCAGUUUCAGCACAAUAGAUAAGUUGAAAGUUAUUCCCUAUAUGAUGGUAUGCGGUUACGGACAAAAAUUGAAUGAUUAUCUCAGAUUAACGAUUCAUACGGUCCAAGAGUGUAAAAGUUUCCCACAAAAGUUUGUAGCUGACGAUUGUUGGACCAAACUGAACAGUAGUCUCCAAACACUUGCCACAACUAUAUUAAGUUUGUUGCGCGUAUUUGAGUUGCACAAUUUCGACAGUAGUAUAACUCUAAGUAAACUUUACGGGCAUCUUUGGGCCGCUCACCUUUUUAUCAUAGCCCAAGGUUUUAACUGGGAUGUCAUGUAUGUUGCUGAAUACUUGGAGACCAUUUUAAAAACUGACUGCAAACCAGAACACCGUGUAUUCAACAUAGAGAUAUUAACGGCUGAAUAUAAAAAUCGAAACACUAUAAUGAACCGCUACGAAUUUUAUGUUAACACUCUGAAUUCUUACAUUGCAUAUAUAGGCGAGCACUUGCGUAAGCUUGGUUUUCAAUACAACGCAAGGGAAGACGUAGUUACCUUUUUUACUCCUAAUACAUAAGACAGUAAAUUCAGUUAUAAGACCGCACAGAAUAGAUACAUUUUCACAAAUUAUUUUUUUUCAUACAAAAAUGGUAAACUGUAUAAAAGUUGCUAUGAAAUAUAUUAAAUAUGCGACGUUUGUGUGUUAUAACUUAUUAGGUAAAUUCGUUGCAUUACAUUUUUUUUCAAUAGGUAAAAUGUAUUGUAAUUAUUAUUUUUAGAUUUGUUGGAUUUUAAUAUAUUUAAAUUCAUUGAAAUAAAUAUUAUUCGAUUUAUUAAAAA